rnacentral:rRNA from 1 species
AUGGUAUUUGGCAAUAUUGGCUCUUGGGCUGCCCAAUUGAUCACUGAAGCUGGUGGCAAGGUGGUCUCCAUCAGAGAUGUCACAGGGGCUAUCAAGAACUCCAAUGGCAUUGACAUAGCCAAGCUGAUGAAGCACUCGGCAGAGAACCAUGGGAUCAAGGGCUUUGACGGAGGCGACGCCGUCGACCCGACCUCGCUGCUCACGGAAGAGUGCGACGUGCUCAUCCCGCCAGCUCUGGGAGGAGUCAUAAACAAGGACAAUGCUGAUGCCAUCAAAGCAAAGUACAUCAUCGAGGCUGUUAACCACCCAACAGACCCCGAGGCCGACGAGAUUCUGGCAAAGAAGGGCGUGCUGAUCCUACCGGACAUCAUGGCCAACUCCGGCGGAGUGAUGGUGAGCUGCUUCGAGUGGGCCGCUGGGCGUCCAAGAGGCACUUGA